rnacentral:ncRNA from 2 species
AGAGUUAAAAAGUACGUGAAACCGUUAAAAGGGAAGCAAAUGGCACUAGCAUUUGUACCUGUCAUAAUCAAUCAGAUGUCUUGAAACCUUGUAGUAUAGAGAGUGUUAAAGCCUCUUGCUGCUUGUAUGGAGAGUUCAUCUGGUGUACUUGUGGCUUGUACAGGCCAACAUCAGUUCGAACUGGAUCACAAGCUCAAUAGGAAGGUGGCUUGCAGCUUCGGUUGUAAGUGUUAUAGCCUAUCGUGAAUGUUCCGGGUUGGACUGAGGAGUCGCAGGUCGUGCCUCUGGCUAGGACCCUGGCCUCUGUUGUGGCGUCAUUGUACAACUUGUGAAAAGCAAGUGGUGCGGUAGCCGCUGUGACACCGGUUAGGAUUUCUAUAAACGACCUUCGGAUGUUGGCGAAAUGGUGUUAUCUGACC